AAGAAGUACAUAUAGAUAUUGGAGAAUGAGGAGGCUACCUCUGGGCCUCCAGGAAAACCAGAAGAAACCUAUAAUCUUUGAUCUAACCU
rfam:Neotoma lepida isolate 417 scaffold_98, whole genome shotgun sequence.